UGGCUAAGGCAGGAGAAUCGCUUGAACCCAGGAGGCAGAGGUUGCAGUGAGCCGAGAUCACACCACUGCACUCCAGCCUGUAAUGUCUUACAAUAACAGAAUGCAGGAGAGCACAUAUCAAUGAAGAAAAGACAAAAUGUACUUAUCCAUGAAGCUGAGGUUAAGAAACCAGUGUCUUCAAGAGCCAGGGACAGCACUGGGUCUGUGCAGAGUUGAGAGAUGGUGAUGACAUGUGGUUUCCAGCAUUCCUCACCCAGUCCAGGGACACUGUGGGUGUGCCCAGCUUAAGUCCAGUAACUGGAAAUACAAGCCCAAGUUCUGGAGAGUUUGAGCUGCAGAGAUAUAUAUGGGAACACUUUGAAUCUUGACUCAUUGGCCAUAACCAGCAGAGUGGAAAAUACAAGAAGAGAAAAAAACAUUGAACUGCGAUUUUAUAACAUCCUUUACUAGGCAGAGAGAAGAGGAAACACCAGGAAAGAAAACUGUAUUACGAUGUGAAAACUUAAUGUUGAGAAAUUCAGGCAUCUUGGGGUUAGU
rnacentral:lncRNA from 1 species